AAUGAACGCUGGCGGCGCGCCUAAUACAUGCAAGUCGAGCGAGAAGACGUAGCAAUACGUUUGUAAAGCGGCGAACGGGUGAGGAAUACAUGGGUAACCUACCCUCGAGUGGGGAAUAACUAGCCGAAAGGUUAGCUAAUACCGCGUACGCUUCUUGGACUUCGGUUCAGGGAGGAAAGCGAUGCCGAGGGUAUCGCGCUCUUGGAUGGGCUCAUGUCCUAUCAGCUUGUUGGGAGGUAACGGCUCACCAAGGCUUCGACGGGUAGCUGGUCUGAGAGGACGAUCAGCCACACUGGCACUGCGACACGGGCCAGACUCCUACGGGAGGCAGCAGUAAGGAAUAUUGCGCAAUGGGCGAAAGCCUGACGCAGCGACGCCGCG
rnacentral:rRNA from 1 species